AACCACAGCACCCAGGAUUCCCGCGUGGUCCCCCACCGUGGUACUAACUGGGCGGCACUUUGGUUAACUGCGCAGAUCAAG
rnacentral:rRNA from 1 species